UACGUAGGGUGCGAGCGUUGUCCGGAUUUAUUGGGCGUAAAGAGCUCGUAGGCGGUUCGACAAGUCGGGUGUGAAAACUCCGGGCUCAACCCGGAGACGCCACCCGAUACUGUCGUGACUGGAGUCCGGUAGGGGAGUGGGGAAUUCCUGGUGUAGCGGUGAAAUGCGCAGAUAUCAGGAGGAACACCGGUGGCGAAGGCGCCACUCUGGGCCGGUACUGACGCUGAGGCACGAAGGUCAGGGGAGCAAACGGG
rnacentral:rRNA from 1 species